AGCCGUGUGGUAAGCACAAAGCGAACUAUUCUUUCGCCUUUUACUAAAGAAUACCGUGUGCUUGCCACUUUAAACGGCAUACGCUUAUUUUUUGAAGAGUUUUCCUUUACUGGAAGGCU
rnacentral:snRNA from 1 species